rnacentral:snRNA from 1 species
AGCUUUGCCCACCGGCAGUAUCAUAGCCAAUGAGGUUUAUCCGAGGCAUGAUUACUGCUAACUGAAAACUCAUAUUUAACUUACAGCU